GAUUGUAUAAUCAUAAUAAAGAAAUAUGGAGUUAGUUCCCGUUGUUCAUCGUAAAAACUCUUCCUCAUUAAGUGUAUUUCUUGUUCUUGCUUCUCACGCACCUUCAUUGUUUGAUCAGUUCCACUUCACAACUUAUAUUUAAGAGAAAUCCAAUCAAAUAUAUACAAAUGGUUGGUAAUUAACUGUCUAAACAAACAGAUACAGCAUUUACGAUUUUGUGGACCUGAAAAAUAUUAAUCAACGUUUGUUGUAGAAAUCUAGAAAUUCUCUUGAAGCUGUCGUUGUCCACUCUGACUUCAGUUCUCACAUCUUCCUCGUUCACUCUUUCUCUCCAUAUCUAUUACUAUAAAAUCACAUGAAAUUGGCU